ensembl:lncRNA
CAACUGGUUUGACUUCCUCCUCCUUGAAGCCUUCCUGGAUUUCCUAAGCUGAAAAUUCUUCACCCCGCCACCACUCCCACUUAUCUGAGCAGUCAUAGUCUUCAGUUUGUAUCUGUCUUUUGGUACAACUUGUUUUCUAUCUAUUCUUCCAAUUAUUUCUACAUCUUUGACCACACCGGGGUAGACCUUAGCUCUUGCUAUUUAGCUCAUGCUAUGCCCUUACUUGGAGAAGGCAAUGGCAGCCCACUCCAGUACUCUUGCCUGGAAAAUCCCAUGGAUGGAGGAGCCUGGUGGGCUGCAGUCCAUGGGGUCGCUAGGAGUCAGACACGACUGAGCGACUUCACUUUCACUUUUCACUUUAUGCAUUGGAGAAGGAAAUGGCAAACCACUCCAGCGUUCUUGCCUGGAGAAUCCCAGGGACGGGGGAGCCUGGUGGGCUGCCGUCUAUGGGGUCGCACAGAGUUGGACAUGACUGAAGUGGCUUAGCAGCAGCAUGCCCUUACUAGGUGCUGAACAGAUGUUUCUUGGACCACAUAUAAAAUGAAACAGGCAAAAGAAAGUGCAUGUAUUGGCGAUGAUGUAGCAGUGCAGCAGGACAGCUGCCAGGCCAGGUGAGGCAAAGAUCUAAGAGCAAAUGGCCUCAGACCACCUCAAAGCACACACGCUCUAUUUUCCAGAACAGAAUCUGCUGGCAGCUUGCCAGCCCUGUCUGCCUCCUAGAGGGGACAGAUUUCUGCUCCCCCCCAAACCUUUUCCUUUCUUUUUUGAGACCCAGGCACCUGCAUCCCUCUCAUAUAGAAUAAAGGAAGAAUUGGAAAUAAAAGACACGCUUAAAGAAAAGAAGUACUAAUUUUGAAAGAUUAUGCUGUGGUUAGGUUAAUCUUACAAUCCCAGGAGUUUAGUUUUGAUCACUUUCUGCUUAUCAUUUGCUUAAAAAAAAAAAAGACAACCAUCAUAUUUAAAACAAGCUAUAGGACCUUGUGGGCACUAAGCCAGUGUCUUCCACGCUUGGAUGAGCAAACACCCCUUCAGAGGAUUCACUAAAACGCAAAACCUGAAAUUGCCUGCUCCAGUGGUUAGAACUUCAUGUUGCCAUUUCACCGGGCAUGGGUUCUAACCCUGGUCAGGGAAUUAGAUCCUGCAAUCAUGCGGCGGGGUCAAAAAAGAAAAUUGCAGAAGGUCUGGGCAGAGUUUAUCAUCUUUACAAUUCUAACAAGCUCCCGGGUGACGCCUGUAUUCUGGUUCUGUGGACUACACCUUGAGAAGCAAGGAUUUAUACAUGAUUUUCAAAUUAUGUGCAGUAACUAAGUUUUUCAAAUCACCUUUCCCACCUUGAGCCCUUAUAAUAUCUUCUUGAUGCUGUUCUUAAAAAAAAUUAUAUUUUGUAUUACAGUAUAGUUGUUACUUUCAGGUUUACAGCAAAGUGAUUUAUAUAUAUAUAUGUGUGUGUGUAUAUAUAUAUAUCCAUUCUUUUUCAGAUUCUUUUCCCAGAUAGGUUAUUACAGAAUAUUGAGUAGAGUUCCCUAUGCUAUACAGUAGGUACUUGCUGAUUAUCUAUUUUAUAUAUAGUAAUAUAUAUUUGUUAAUCCCAAACUCCUAAUUUAUCCUUCCCCACCCACAUUUCCCCUUUGGUAACCACAAGUUUGUUUUUGAAGUCUGUGAGUCUGUUUCUGUUUUGUAAAUAAGUUCAUUUGUAUCAUUUUUUAAAGAUUCCACAUAUAAAUGAUAUCAUAUAUUUGUCUUUCUGUAUCUGACUUUCUUCACUUAGUAUGAUAAUCUCUAGCUCCAUCCAUGUUGCUGCAAAUGGCAUUAUUUCAUUCUUUUUUAAAUGAUUUCUUUUUUAAAAUGAUUUUAUUAUGUUAUUUUAUUUAUUUUUAUUUUUUGGCCGUGCCACGUGGCAUGUGGGAUCUUGGCUCCUCGACCAGGGAUCAAACCCACACUCUGUGUGUUGGAAGUGUGGAGUCUUAACCACUGGGCCACCAGGGAAGUCCUCAUUCUUUUUCAUGGCUAAGUAACACUCCAUUAUAUAGAUAUAUAGUGGAAUAUAUAUAUAUAUAUAUGUAUGUGUGUAUCUUCAUCCAUUCAUCUGUCAAUGAACAUCUAAGUUGGACAUCCAUUCAUCUCAUGAUGGACAUCUAAGUUGCUUCCAUGUGUUGGCUAUUGUAAAUUUUUUGUUGCUAUUCUUAAGGCCCAUUUAGCAGAUUUCAUUUUGUUAUAGCUAUGUAUAUGUUAGGAGCCAUCACCAUGGAGGUAGAAGCCGUCUCUUCCUGUUAUCUCCAUAUUUUAUAACCUUCCUAAAGGAGAUGGCAACACACUCCAGUAUUCUUGCCUGUCGAAUCCCAUCAACAGAGGAGUCUAGCGGGCUUCAGUCUGUGAGGGCACAAGAAUCGGACACAACUUAGCGACUAAACUACUGCUGCUGCUACCAGCAGCACAGAGGAAGUCUUCACAAAUGUUUUGUAAGUGAAUGAAUGGGCAAAGCAAAACUAUAAAACUAUUUUCAAGUGCACAGUUGUGCCCUUCAGAGAAAGCUGAGUCCAAGAAAAGAAAUCAAGGUAUUCUAUGGGAACUGAUGUCUCUCAGGAGCUGACGUCAUUGCUUAGGGAGAGGGACCUUUGUGAACUGACUGAACUAUAUGCACUUUUGGAAGCCAUAGGAUCCCAGUCACACUUUGGAAUGUGCUGCUAGGAAGGAGACACCAUCUAGCACAUGGCAGUCACCAUACACUGGGUUUUAGUAUUAGGAACCUCUAGGAACUUCUCACUGUAAUCUAUCUGUGUCAUUAUUCAAAUGCUGAUUAUAGUAUCCAGGCUCAUGGCCUUUUUUGCUUAUUUUUUCCUCCUUUUUUAAAAAAAUAUUUUUGUCUGUGUGUGGUCUUUAUUGCUGCAUGGGCGUUUUCUCUAGUGAUGCAUGGGCUUCUCACUGUGGUGGCUUCUCUUGUUGCAGAGCAUAGGCUCUGGGGAAUGGGGGCUUCAGUAGUCAUGGGGCAGGGGUUUAGUUGCUCCUUGGCAUGUGGGGCUUCCUGGCUCAGGGAUCAAACUCAUGUCUCCUGCAUUGACAGGCAGAUUCUUUACCACUGAGCUGCCAGCAAAGUCCUCCCUUCUUGUUUCUUUUCAGUCCCUUUUCAACAUCUUGGCGCUAUUCAUCAUGUCAUAUGCAGAGCUGUUAGGGAGAGCUUUCUGUAACAGAGAUCUCUCCAGAGCCCUCACCUUCCUCGUCUGUUGCUUCCCCACUGCCAACCAGAAUCAAGAUACCUGCUGAGCCCUUAGCUGCCCACCCUGUGCCCUUUCUCCAGCUUUAUCUUUCCUCCUUUCCCACCAUACUCUCCACUCCCUCCAGCUGGACAAUUUACCAACCCCCAAGCACAUUCUUAGGCUCUGUGUGUUUGCUUAUGCUGUUCAUUUUGCCUAAAAUGUCAUCUCUCCACCUGGCAACCUCUCCUUCUCUUCGCUCCUAUCCAAUCACCCAAUCCCACCUUCCCCUGGGGUCCUCCUCAAACUCCAGAAAGAACAAGUCAGUCUUCCGGGGGCCCAGACUCUUUGCUGCUCCUCGGUUCCUUCAUUUAUCCCAUUGCAUUGUCCUUGGAGCCCUACUCUGGCCACCUGCCUUCUUCUUGGCAUCUCCAGCCCCUUGUGGGCACCCAGUUCAAGCUCCUUGAAGAAAUGCAGUCACCGGGACAGCACUUUAACUGUUGCUAUUGAUGAUAAAGUACUUCCAAAGUGGCUCAGCAGUACACAAUCUGCCUACCAAUGCAGAAGACUCGGGUUUGAUCCUUGGGUCAGAAAGAUCCCCUGGAGGAGGAAAUGGCUAUGUACUCCAGUACUCUUACCUGAAAAAUCUCAAGGACAGAGGAGCCUGGCAGGUUACAGUCCAUGGGGUCGCAAAAGAGCCAAACAUGACCAGACAACAACAGUUCAUGACAAUCCCCUUUCCUUCCUCCUGGCCGUCCAGCAGGAAUUCCCAUCAAUCCCGGAACUGCUGGUGUCAACUUCAUGACCUCUUGUCUGAUUUCUUCACAACUUCUCUACAUGGGAAGGCAGGAGUUACAUUUCAAGACGCAGUAUUCAUUUUUGUGGAAGAUGCACGUAUGGUGUAGGGGUUUUACGCGCAGGAGCUCGGCACCCUGACCUGCACGCACCCACACUGUUUGUGCUGUUGCCCUGGACACUGGGAGACAACCACUUCUUUCACAACCAACUCACCUGCUGAGCAAUGGGCUGGCUGAGGGCCUGACUUGCUCCUCCUUGUUCUGAGAGCCCCAGGCAGCAUUUCCUCCCUCUGCGAGUCAGCUGUGGUGCUGGUCAGGAUCACCAAAGGAACAUAGCGGGCAGACUUAUGGACUCAGCAGGGGAAGGAGAGGGUGGGAGCAAUUGACAGAGUAGCAUUAAAAUAUAAACAUUACAAUGUGUAACAUAGAUAGCUAAUGGGAAGUUGCUAUAUAACAC